CCUCAGCCUUUCGUGCCCGGGCCCCAACCCCAGGAAUUUAACCCCUUCCCCGCCGACGGCCGCGUCAGAGCGCCGCAUUCCCAGCCCGCAAGGACCCAGAGAAGGGGUCGGGGAGACCCGGUGAGGGGUCACCUCAGCUGGAUGACAACAGAGCCUGGAAGAAACGUGGAGUUGGCAGGGGAAGCAAGACCAAGCACCAUCACUGGUUCUCUGCGUAGGUGAACAUUUCUGCCUGACGUUGUCUCUAGCUCCACCUCGUGCCCUACCUACCACUAACACUCGGCCAGAAGACGAAAACAAGCCACAGACGGAUGAGAUGAGGUCUCUUCACUGGCUGGGUCAGCAAGGAGACUCAAUGUCUCCUUUUCCAUUUCAGAAAGACUAUUUGAAGUCUGGAUGAAUAAAGAAGGAUGAAACAUG